UAUGGCUGUGGCUUCGUUCGUGUAUUUUUCACCAUCCGAUGACCACGACGGCCAUCCAACAGUUCCAGAGAUCCCUCUCCAUCGUCGUCUCCACCGUCUGAUAACAUCCCUCCCCACUUUUACUCAGAAUAAAAAUCUCUAUCAGAUGACAUCGAGUGCAAAUAUCUCUGCAGCUCUCCAAUAGCCUCGAUGGACCAGCGCCGUCCUCCAGUAGCGAUGUUUUCCUCUCCUCCUCUCUUUUUCUCUUUUUUCUUUCUUGAUGUCGGUGUGUCACGCUCCGAACUCAACACCC
rnacentral:lncRNA from 1 species